GACGAACGCUGGCGGCGUGCUUAACACAUGCAAGUCGAACGGGCUCUGUCUGGCUGUGUGCUGGGUGGGGUUAGUGGCGAACGGGUGAGUAAUACGUGAGUAACCUGCCCUCUUCUUUGGGAUAAGCCUUGGAAACGGGGUUUAAUACUGGAUAUUCCUGUCUGGUCGCAUGGCUGGGUGGGGAAAGUUUUUUCGGUGGGGGAUGGGCUCGCGGCCUAUCAGCUUGUUGGUGGGGUGAUGGCCUACCAAGGCGUCGACGGGUAGCCGGCCUGAGAGGGUGACCGGCCACACUGGGACUGAGAUACGGCCCAGACUCCUACGGGAGGCAGCAGUGGGGGAUAUUGCACAAUGGGCGCAAGCCUGAUGCAGCGACGCCGCGUGGGGGAUGACGGCUUUCGGGUUGUAAACCUCUUUCGUCGGGGGACAAGG
rnacentral:rRNA from 1 species